GUAUAAAAGCUCUCAGUCUUGCUCGACACUUCCAACAGCUUCUUUCACCUCCUCUUGACUUCACUUCAUCAGCUCUUUGCGGCUAACUUCCAUCCUUUCCACCAUGGCAUCCUGCUGUCCCAUCCCAUGUGUUCCAGUAUACUGUAGCCCACCUCCCAGCCCAUCUUGUGCCUAUCCCUGUGGGCCAAUCCUUCCAGUGAGCGGUUCCCAGUCCUCUAGAGGCCAAAGCUAUCCAUGUGGACCCCUUGCGCCGCUGAAUGUCCAGCCCAGCAAUGGCUCAUCUUCUCCAUCCUGUGCCUAUCCAUGUGGGCCCAUCCUUCCGAUCAGUGGCUGCCCGCCUCCUCCUCCUCCUCCUCCUCCUCCAGCUCCAACUCCAUCCUGUGCCUAUCCAUGUGGGCCCAUCCUUCCGAUCAGUGGCUGCCCACCUCCUCCUCCUCCUCCUCCAGCUCCAACUCCAACCUGUGCCUAUCCGUGCGGGCCCAUCUUUCCGGUCAGUGGCUGCCCACCUUGCCAGCCUUGCUACGUCCCAGUUUGUAUCGAGCCCUGCGCUCCUUUUUGUCUCCCUUGCUAAACCAUCAGGAAACAUCUCUCCUGGUACACGAUCACAUCGAGAAUUGAAAAUGGUGGUACGGAUUCAUGGCUAAGCUGAUGGGGACUGGGUACCCAAAGCGCUGAGCAUUCACACUUCUAACUGAGGCUCUGUAGUUUCAGCACCUGCGCAUCAUCUUUGGCGCUCAGUCCCUGCUUUAAUGUUCUUUGAACCUGUCACUUCUGAAUGAUCCCUCUUGCUAGCUUUUGCAAAUGCUCUAUUUAAUCAGGGAAACACGACACAUUGGUGUCAAUUUUCCCUGUGAGGGAAAAUAGCUACUAUCUGUGCUCCCCAAUGCUAGUCGUAGAUUUGAUUCACUGCUGUUCAUUCCUCUUCAUCGCUUUUGGUAUGAUAUCUUUGUGUUCUCAGUCUGUUCACUCUUAAUAAACUCUGCUCUGGUGCAAAGAAA